UACGAAGGGUCCAAGCGUUAUCCGGAUUUAUUGGGUUUAAAGGGUGCGUAGGCGGCUUAUUAAGUCAGUGGUGAAAGCCUGGAGCUUAACUCCAGAAUUGCCAUUGAUACUGAUGAGCUUGAGUACAGUUGAGGUAGGCGGAAUGUGUCAUGUAGCGGUGAAAUGCUUAGAUAUGACACAGAACACCGAUUGCGAAGGCAGCUUGCUAAGCUGUAACUGACGCUGAUGCACGAAAGCGUGGGGAGCAAACAGG
rnacentral:rRNA from 1 species